rnacentral:rRNA from 1 species
GUAGAGAUCUGAAGGAAUACCGAAGGCGAAGGCAGCCAACUGGGUCUACACUGACGCUCAUGUACGAAAGCGUGGGGAGCAAACGGGAUUAGAUACCCCGGUAGUCCACGCCGUAAACGAUGUCUACUAGAAGCUGGGGUCUUCGGACAACUUUUUCAAAGCUAACGCAUUAAGUAGACCGCCUGGGGAGUACGGCCGCAAGGUUAAAACUCAAAUGAAUUGCCGGGGGCCCGCACAAGCGGUGGAGCAUGUGGUUUAAUUCGAUGCAACGCGAAGAACCUUACCUACACUUGACAUACAGAGAACUUACCAGAGAUAGUUUGGUGCCUUCGGGAACUCUGAUACAGGUGCUGCCUGGCUGUCGUCAGCUGGUGUUCUGAGAUGUUGGGUUAAGUCC